UUGUGAAUUGCAGAAUUCCGUGAACCAAUAGGGAUUUGAACGUAUACUGCGCUUUCGGGAUAUCCCUGAAAGCAUGCCUGCUUCAGUGUCUUUUCCUUUUCAUUCCCUCGGCUCAAGCUUGCUUCACGCGAGCCAGCCGUGUGUGAGUGUUUGUGCGUCAAGGCGCUCUCUUCAUCUUCUUGGUGAACGUUGAGCCCUUAACGCAUGCAGUGCAUGGGGACUUCUGCGGCGAGCAACUUGAAGAGCGUCUUCAUUGAGCUUUUUCUGUUGUUGUCUUUCGCCGUUGGAACUUGCCCCGAGCUCGAGCUGUUGGUGCAGCUUCUUUCUCCAGACAUGAAGUUAGGUCAGCAAACCCGCUGAAUUUAAGCAUAUCAAU
rnacentral:rRNA from 1 species